rnacentral:rRNA from 1 species
CCUACGGGUGGCUGCAGUGGGGAAUAUUGCACAAUGGGCGCAAGCCUGAUGCAGCCAUGCCGCGUGUGUGAAGAAGGCCUUCGGGUUGUAAAGCACUUUCAGCGGGGAGGAAGGCGUUAAGGUUAAUAACCUUGGCGAUUGACGUUACCCGCAGAAGAAGCACCGGCUAACUCCGUGCCAGCAGCCGCGGUAAUACGGAGGGUGCAAGCGUUAAUCGGAAUUACUGGGCGUAAAGCGCACGCAGGCGGUCUGUCAAGUCGGAUGUGAAAUCCCCGGGCUCAACCUGGGAACUGCAUUCGAAACUGGCAGGCUAGAGUCUUGUAGAGGGGGGUAGAAUUCCAGGUGUAGCGGUGAAAUGCGAAGAGAUCUGGAGGAAUACCGGUGGCGAAGGCGGCCCCCUGGACAAAGACUGACGCUCAGGUGCGAAAGCGUGGGGAGCAAACAGGAUUAGAUACCCUUGUAGUC